UUUCCCUUCCUAAAAAUUCCUUCGGUUUAGUCCUCCAAUGGGUGAUAUCAAUGAAAAUUUCUCUGAAACUGAGACAUCACAAAUAACUCAGAAUAUCAAUCAGUGAAUCACUCAAGGUGAAAUUAAUUCCUCCACUACUGCUGAUGAUGUUCUUGAUGUUCGCUUAACCAAAACACAGCUUGAGACUCUCCAUAAGAUACUUGGUACUCCCACUACUCAUGGAUCUCUAGCCACUCAAGGUGACUCCACGUUGUUUCACACCUACACUCCUUGUCAUAACAAAUCCCGAAUCCGCAUAGCUGACGGUUCUUACUCACCUGUGGCUGGAAUAGGAGAAGUACAAAUGACAGAGAGUUUUUCUCUCGAUAAAGUCCUACAUGUCCCAAACUUGUCCUGUAAUUUACUUUCAAUUAGUAAACUUACUAAGGAUGAAAAAGUUCUUGCUGAAUUUUCUGCAAUUGGUUGUGUGAUACAGGAACAGAAAUCGGGGAGGAUGAUUGGCACUGCUAAAGUUGAUGAUGGACUAUAUAUUUGGAAUAAAAACAGUACACAAGGGGGAUUGGCUCUAUCCACUUCAAAAGAGGACACUAUUAUGUUAUGGCACCGUAGGUUAGGACAUCCAAACUUUGUGUAUUUGAAAAAACAUCUUCCGCUGUUAUUUCGAAAUAAAAGUAUUAAUUCCUUGAAGUGUGAAAUUUGCCAAUUAUCUAAACAUACCCGUGUGUCAUACCCAUUAAAACCACAUAUUCAGUCCCAACCUUUUUCGUUAAUCCAUAGUGACCUAUGGGGAG